UUGACUAAUGUGGGAGGGCCCAGC
rnacentral:piRNA from 1 species